UAUGGCUCAGUAGUAGAGUGCAUGCGUUGCAUGCAUGAAGCCCUGGGUUCAAUUUCUCAGUA
rnacentral:tRNA from 1 species